UACGUAGGGUGCAAGCGUUGUCCGGAAUUAUUGGGCGUAAAGAGCUCGUAGGCGGUCUGUCGCGUCUGCUGUGAAAACUCAGGGCUUAACCCUGAGCUUGCAGUGGGUACGGGCAGACUAGAAUUCGGUAGGGGAGACUGGAAUUCCUGGUGUAGCGGUGAAAUGCGCAGAUAUCAGGAGGAACACCGGUGGCGAAGGCGGGUCUCUGGGCCGAUAUUGACGCUGAGGAGCGAAAGCGUGGGGAGCGAACAGG
rnacentral:rRNA from 1 species